rnacentral:rRNA from 1 species
GAUGAACGCUGGCGGCGUGCCUAAUACAUGCAAGUCGAGCGAACAGACGAGGAGCUUGCUCCUUUGACGUUAGCGGCGGACGGGUGAGUAACACGAGGGUAACCUACCUAUAAGACUGGGAUAACGUCGGGAAACCGGAUCUAAUACCGGAUAAUAUUUCGAACCGCAUGGUUCGAUAGUGAAAGAUGGCUUUGCUAUCACUUAUAGAUGGACCUGCGCCGUAUUAGCUAGUUGGUAAGGUAACGGCUUACCAAGGCAACGAUACGUAGCUGACCUGAGAGGGUGAUCGGCCACACUGGAACUGAGACACGGUCCAGACUCCUACGGGAGGCAGCAGUAGGGAAUCUUCCGCAAUGGGCGAAAGCCUGACGGAGCCACGCCGCGUGAGUGAUGAAGGUCUUCGGAUCGUAAAGCUCUGUUAUUAGGGAAGAACAAAAGUGUAAGUAACUGUGCACGUCUUGACGGUACCUAAUCAGAAAGCCCCGGCUAACUACGUG